GACGAAUGCUGGCUGCGUGCUUAACACAUGCAAGUCGAACGGUGAAGGAGAGCUUGCUCUCCGGAUCAGUGGCGAACGGGUGAGUAACACGUGGGCAACCUGCCCCUCACUCUGGGAUAACGCCGGGAAACCGGCGCUAAUACCGGAUACGACCAGGCGCGACAUCUCGCCUGGUGGAACGAAUUUCGGGGAGGGAUGGGCCCGCGGCCUAUCAGCUUGUUGGUGGGGUAACGGCCCACCAAGGCGACGACGGGUAGCCGGCCUGAGAGGGCGACCGGCCACACUGGGACUGAGACACGGCCCAGACUCCUACGGGAGGCAGCAGUGGGGAAUAUUGCGCAAUGGGCGAAAGCCUGACGCAGCGACGCAGCGUGAGGGACGACGGCCUUCGGGUUGUAAACCUCUUUCAGCGGGGACGAAGCGAAAGUGACGGUACCCGCAGAAGAAGCACCGGCUAACUACGUGCCAGCCGCCGCCGUAAAAC
rnacentral:rRNA from 1 species